rnacentral:misc_RNA from 1 species
GAUGAAGAACGUAGCGAAAUGCGAUAAGUAAUGUGAAUUGCAGAAUUCAGUGAAUCAUCGAAUCUUUGAACGCACAUUGCGCCCCCUGGUAUUCCGGGGGGCAUGCCUGUCCGAGCGUCAUUACAACCCUCAAGCUCAGCUUGGUAUUGGGCCCCGCCGACCCGGCGGGCCCUAAAGUCAGUGGCGGUGCCGUCCGGCUCCGAGCGUAGUAAUUCUUCUCGCUCUGGAGAUCCGGUCGUGUGCUCGCCAGCAACCCCCAAUUUUUUUCAGGUUGACCUCGGAUCAGGUAGGGAUACCCGCUGAACUUAAGCAUAUCAAUAAGCGGAGGA